rnacentral:rRNA from 1 species
GACGAACGCUGGCGGCGUGCCUAAUACAUGCAAGUUGAGCGCUGAAGGUUGGUACUUGUACCGACUGGAUGAGCAGCGAACGGGUGAGUAACGCGUGGGGAAUCUGCCUUUGAGCGGGGGACAACAUUUGGAAACGAAUGCUAAUACCGCAUAAAAACUUUAAACACAAGUUUUAAGUUUGAAAGAUGCAAUUGCAUCACUCAAAGAUGAUCCCGCGUUGUAUUAGCUAGUUGGUGAGGUAACGGCUCACCAAGGCGAUGAUACAUAGCCGACCUGAGAGGGUGAUCGGCCACAUUGGGACUGAGACACGGCCCAAACUCCUACGGGAGGCAGCAGUAGGGAAUCUUCGGCAAUGGACGAAAGUCUGACCGAGCAACGCCGCGUGAGUGAAGAAGGUUUUCGGAUCGUAAAACCCUGUUGGUAGAGAAGAACGUUGGUGAGAGUGGAAAGCUCAUCAAGUGACGGUAACUACCCAGAAAGGGACGGCUAACUACGU